rnacentral:rRNA from 1 species
UACGAAGGGGGCUAGCGUUGCUCGGAAUCACUGGGCGUAAAGGGUGCGUAGGCGGGUCUUUAAGUCAGGGGUGAAAUCCUGGAGCUCAACUCCAGAACUGCCUUUGAUACUGGCAAGCUUCGAGUUCGGGAGAGGUGAGUGGAACUGCGAGUGUAGAGGUGAAAUUCGUAGAUAUUCGCAAGAACACCAGUGGCGAAGGCGGCUCACUGGCCCGAUACUGACGCUGAGGUGCGAAAGCGUGGGGAGCAAACAGG